AUUUAGAACUUGACAUUCCAUCAGAUUUAUUGAUUCCAAAUUCAGGUGGUCUUCUUGCUUCUAUCGUUGAAAGCACAUAUCCCCAACUUUUACAAAACAUUAACAAAUCCAUUCGAUUUUUACUUUUCAAAAGGAUUUGUAAUCCUGAACUUUUCGAGGAAUCCUUCAUCAGUGGUUGUGAAUGACCUAUUUUUCUCAAUCUUUAUGACUUGCUC
rnacentral:lncRNA from 1 species